rnacentral:rRNA from 1 species
UACGUAGGGGUGCGAGCGUUGUCCGGAAUUAUUGGGCGUAAAGAGCUCGUAGGCGGUGUGUCACGUCGGCCGUGAAAACCUGCAGCUUAACUGUGGGCGUGCGGUCGAUACGGGGCAUCACUGGAGUUCGGCAGGGGGAGACUGGAAUUCCUGGUGUAGCGGUGGAAUGCGCAGAUAUCAGGAGGAACACCGGUGGCGAAGGCGGGUCUCUGGGCAGUAACUGACGCUGGAGGAGCGAAGGCGUGGGGAGCGAACAGG